CUUGAGUCUCCGUUACGCAAGAAGACCCGCUGAAUUUAAGCAUAUAACUAAGCGGAGGAAAAGAAACUAACAAGGAUUCCCUCAGUAACGGCGAGUGAAGCGGGACCAGCCCAGAUUGUAAACUGGCCGCCACGGCGGUCGGGUUGUAGUCUACAGAGGCAAGACCAGGCGCGACCCGGGGAGAAGUCCCUUGGAACAGGGCAUCGGAGAGGGUGACAAUCCCGUCUGUGCCUCGGGUAA
rnacentral:rRNA from 1 species